CAGGAAGGGCCCUCUCUUUUCCCCUCGGCUCCUGCUCCAGCGGCACAAUGUGAUCCACCAGCUAGGAGGGACGCCAAUAAGGCGUCUGAUAAGAUAAGUCUUAUAAAAUAUAUAGAUGUAUGAUAAUUGAGACUGAGCUAACAGAUUGAUUCUGAAUCCUGGCACUUUGCUGAAUUUGUUUACCAUAUCUUCUGGUAAAACUGUUGAGAUCUUUAAUGUAUAGUAUCAUGGCAUCUGAAAACAGAAAACACCAAGUAGGACGCUGGUGGACUUGUAACUUUCAUCUGUCAAUCCCCAUCCAAGAAAAUGAAAGUGGGGGCUGGAAACAUGGCUCAGCAGUUAAAAACAAUUUUGGAUUCCAUGGCACUGUAACUCCAUCUAGGAGACCUACCACCCUCUUGGGGCCUCUCCAUGUCUUGAGCAGACAUGGCUAUCCCAAGCUCCAUAGUGAGACUUGUCUAAAAAGAAUACAAACAAGUCAGAAAAUGAAAUACAUCAACAGGAAAAGCUAUUCACAGUUUCAAACAGGGCAGGCACAAUGGUGAGCACCACAGCAUAUGCCACAUAGUACCACCACAUCUGAUGGACAGGUGGCUCUAAACUCUGGACCAGAGGAAGAGGAUUCUCUCAUAGUGGAAAGAAGCUGCAGUGUGUGGAGGAGUCUGAAGGACCACAGUUGGCAACAACUAUUAUUAGGAAGAAUUCCUAGGCAGUGAAGACCAACAGCAGAUGCUGAAGAUGGAAGGAGAAAAUCUCAGGAUGAGAAGGGGGAAUGAUUAUCCGGGCAGUGUAGUUACAGCAAAACUGGCCAUGGGCACAAAGGACUAGGAGAGUGACGCAGCCUUGAGGAGAGUGUGAACUUCCCGUGACUGAACUGUUCUUCCACAGGAGGAAGCAGAGAGUGUGAGCCAUGGCCAGAAUACUAAGUAUGAAGCCAUGGUUAGAUCUGAAACAAAAAAGCAGUGACAAGGGUUUGAGUUUAGAGAAAAAGUGAAGUCAUUCCCGUUUACCAUCCAAAAAUCGGUGGGCAUCAAAAGUCACAGCUGGCACCAAAACCUUUGUAUAUUACAUUUGUUAAUAUACGGCAGCCAAUUCAUAAAUCAGGUAUGUUGAUAAAUUAGUCACAGUAGAUACAUCUAUUAUCUGUGCAAUUAUCUAUGUUUACAUGCAUGCAUGUAUGCAUAUACGUAUGUAAUAUUGAUCAUGUCAUAUAAUUAUAUAUAUAUUUCUGUGUAUACUUGAACGUAUCUACCUAUCCAUAUAUAUGUAUGUAUAUAUGCAUACACAUGUAUCUAUCAUUUAUGUAUUUAUCUAUCCAUGUAUAUAUGUGUGUAUGUACAUAUGAAUAUAUAUGCCUGUAUUAUGUAUCUAUCAUUGGUCAUCUAUGUAUUGUAUAUAUGUAUGUAUUUUUAUAUCUGUUCAUGUGUAUAUAUGUAUGUACAUAUGCAUAUAUUCAUCUAUCAUUCAUUUAUGUUAUUUACCUUACCCAUGUAUAUGUGUGUACAAGUUUAUACAUAUAUGUGUAUGUAUCUAUCAUCUAUCAC
rnacentral:lncRNA from 1 species